AGGACGAACGCUGGCGGCGUGCUUAACACAUGCAAGUCGAGCGGAAAGGCCCUUCGGGGUACUCGAGCGGCGAACGGGUGAGUAACACGUGAGCAACCUGCCCUUAGCUCUGGGAUAGCUCCGGGAAACCGGAAUUAAUACCGGAUAUGACCUAGGCCGACAUCGGCCGUGGUGGUAAAGUUUUUCGGCUAGGGAUGGACUCGCGGCCUAUCAGCUAGUUGGUGGGGUAAUGGCCUACCGAAGGCGACGACGGGUAGCCGG
rnacentral:rRNA from 1 species